GAUGAACGCUGGCGGCGUGCCUAAUACAUGCAAGUCGAGCGAACGGACGAGAAGCUUGCUUCUCUGAUGUUAGCGGCGGACGGGUGAGUAACACGUGGAUAACCUACCUAUAAGACUGGGAUAACUUCGGGAAACCGGAGCUAAUACCGGCUAAUAUUUUGAACCGCAUGGUUCAAAAGUGAAAGACGGUCUUGCUGUCACUUAUAGAUGGAUCCGCGCUGCCUUAGCUAGUUGGUAAGGUAACGGCUUACCAAGGCAACGAUGCAUAGCCGACCUGAGAGGGUGAUCGGCCACACUGGAACUGAGACACGGUCCAGACUCCUACGGGAGGCAGCAGUAGGGAAUCUUCCGCAAUGGGCGAAAGCCUGACGGAGCAACGCCGCGUGAGUGAUGAAGGUCUUCGGAUCGUAAAACUCUGUUAUUAGGGAAGAACAUAUGUGUAAGUAACUGUGCACAUCUUGACGGUACCUAAUCAGAAAGCCACGGCUAACUUCGUG
rnacentral:rRNA from 1 species